AGCUUUGCACAGUCCCAGUAUUCAUAACCAGUGAAGUUUAUCCCAGGUGUGAUUAUUGGUAGUUGAAAACUUUUCCCGAUACCCUUUUGUGACAACUUGAAAUAUAGUCAGCACUGGCAAUUUCUGACAAUCUCUAUGGAGA